GACGAACGCUGGCGGCGUGCUUAACACAUGCAAGUCGAGCGGAAAGGCCCUUCGGGGUACUCGAGCGGCGAACGGGUGAGUAACACGUGAGUAACCUGCCCCAGACUUUGGGAUAACCCUCGGAAACGGGGGCUAAUACCGGAUACGACACAGCUUCGCAUGGGGUCUGUGUGGAAAGUUUUUCGGUUUGGGAUGGGCUCGCGGCCUAUCAGCUUGUUGGUGGGGUGAUGGCCUACCAAGGCGACGACGGGUAGCCGGCCUGAGAGAGCGACCGGCCACACUGGGACUGAGACACGGCCCAGACUCCUACGGGAGGCAGCAGUGGGGAAUAUUGCACAAUGGGCGGAAGCCUGAUGCAGCGACGCCGCGUGAGGGAUGACGGCCUUCGGGUUGUAAACCUCUUUCAGCAGGGACGAAGCGUAAGUGACGGUACCUGCAGAAGAAGCGCCGGCCAACUACGUG
rnacentral:rRNA from 1 species